AGCAGUCGCCGCGGGAAAACGGAGGGUGCAAGCGUUAUCCGGAUUCACUGGGUUUAAAGGGUGCGUAGGCGGAUCUGUAAGUCAGUGGUGAAAUCUCCAGGCUUAACCUGGAAACUGCCGUUGAUACUAUAGGUCUUGAAUUUUGUGGAGGUUAGCGGAAUAUGUCAUGUAGCGGUGAAAUGCAUAGAUAUGACAUAGAACACCAAUUGCGAAGGCAGCUGGCUACACAACUAUUGACGCUGAGGCACGAAAGCGUGGGGAUCAAACAGGAUUAGAUACCCCCGUAGUCCCUGUCUCUUAUAC
rnacentral:rRNA from 1 species